GCCUACGGGGGGCUGCAGUGGGGGUAUUGCACAAUGGGCGCAAGCCUGAUGCAGCGACGCCGCGUGAGGGAAGACGGUCUUCGGAUUGUAAACCUCUGUCUUCGGGGACGAUAAUGACGGUACCCGGGGAGGAAGCUCCGGCUAACUACGUGCCAGCAGCCGCGGUAAUACGUAGGGAGCGAGCGUUGUCCGGAAUUACUGGGUGUAAAGGGAGCGUAGGCGGGAAGACAAGUUGAAUGUUAAAUCUAUCGGCUCAACCGGUAGCCGCGUUCAAAACUGUUUUUCUUGAGUGAAGUAGAGGUUGGCGGAAUUCCUAGUGUAGCGGUGAAAUGCGUAGAUAUUAGGAGGAACACCAGUGGCGAAGGCGGCCAACUGGGCUUUUACUGACGCUGAGGCUCGAAAGCGUGGGGAGCAAACAGGAUUAGAUACCCUGGUAGUCA
rnacentral:rRNA from 1 species